UGGUGGGGUAACGGCCCACCAAGGCUUCGACGGGUAGCCGGCCUGAGAGGGUGACCGGCCACACUGGGACUGAGACACGGCCCAGACUCCUACGGGAGGCAGCAGUGGGGAAUAUUGGACAAUGGGCGAAAGCCUGAUCCAGCAACGCCGCGUGAGGGAUGACGGCCUUCGGGUUGUAAACCUCUUUCAGCGCAGACGAAGCGAAAGUGACGGUAUGCGCAGAAGAAGCACCGGCCAACUACGUGCCAGCAGCCGCGGUAAUACGUAGGGUGCGAGCGUUGUCCGGAAUUAUUGGGCGUAAAGGGCUCGUAGGCGGUUUGUCACGUCAGGAGUGAAAACUCGGGGCUCAACCCCGAGCCUGCUUCUGAUACGGGCAGACUGGAGGUAUGCAGGGGAGAACGGAAUUCCUGGUGUAGCGGUGAAAUGCGCAGAUAUCAGGAGGAACACCGGUGGCGAAGGCGGUUCUCUGGGCAUUACCUGACGCUGAGGAGCGAAAGUGUGGGGAGCGAACAGGAUUAGAUACCCUGGUAGUCCACACCGUAAACGUUGGGCGCUAGGUGUGGGACUCAUU
rnacentral:rRNA from 1 species